UACGUAGGGUGCAAGCGUUAAUCGGAAUUACUGGGCGUAAAGUGUGCGCAGGCGGUUUUGUAAGUCUGUCGUGAAAGCCCCGGGCUCAACCUGGGAAUUGCGAUGGAGACUGCAAGGCUUGAAUCUGGCAGAGGGGGGUAGAAUUCCACGUGUAGCAGUGAAAUGCGUAGAGAUGUGGAGGAACACCGAUGGCGAAGGCAGCCCCCUGGGUCAAGAUUGACGCUCAUGCACGAAAGCGUGGGGAGCAAACAGG
rnacentral:rRNA from 1 species